UUGAGACUUCGGUGGAUUUGAUCUAUUUCUAGUGGCGGACGGGUGAGUAACGCGUGGGUAACCUGCCUUAUACAGGGGGAUAACAGUCAGAAAUGGCUGCUAAUACCGCAUAAGCGCACAGAGCUGCAUGGCUCAGUGUGAAAAACUCCGGUGGUAUGGGAUGGGCCCGCGUCUGAUUAGGCAGUUGGCGGGGUAACGGCCCACCAAACCGACGAUCAGUAGCCGGCCUGAGAGGGCGACCGGCCACAUUGGGACUGAGACACGGCCCAAACUCC
rnacentral:rRNA from 1 species